UGCUGAAUAUUGUUUACUUUGGAUUCUUUGAACCUUAAGCUAAUUCUUCUUCUUUGAUGCUGUCUAUUUCCUGCACCCAUCUUCAGGUUCAGGGGAAAAGAAGAAAAUAUAUCUUCCAAAUCUGUAGAAGAAGCCAGCUGAGAAUGGGGUUGAUUGGCUAGUGCCUAUGUUGUUAACUGAAAAAUCUUCCCAAUCCUUGGAGCAGUUGUUCACUUUGAAAAUAACUUUAAAGACAAGCAAGAAACAAAUGGAAGAGUUUCAUAUACAUGUGAUACCUAAAUCUGAGGGCAGACAGCCUUCCUAAAACAAGGAACAGGUCUAAAUAUACACACCCACAACUUGGUGGCAAUACAGUAUUGUGUGCGAUGUGUGCUCUGCUUCAAGUGAAAUCACAGAAGGCCAUAGGUAGUGCUGCAGCUAAAGAUAACUUUGGUUCCAUAUCUACAGCUCAGUUGAAGGCUAUCUAGCCAGGCAGAAGCUUCAUUCUAGCUUAAUCACGGUUGAUUCAUACUGUGGCUUAUCAGGAUUCACAUUUGCAUUGGAUUGCAGAA